rnacentral:rRNA from 1 species
UACGUAGGGGGCAAGCGUUGUCCGGAAUUAUUGGGCGUAAAGAGCGUGUAGGCGGCCCGGUAAGUCCGCUGUGAAAGUCGGGGGCUCAACCCUCGAAUGCCGGUGGAUACUGUCGGGCUAGAGUGCGGAAGAGGCGAGUGGAAUUCCUGGUGUAGCGGUGAAAUGCGCAGAUAUCAGGAGGAACACCGGUGGCGAAGGCGGGUCUCUGGGCCGAUACUGACGCUGAGGAGCGAAAGCGUGGGGAGCGAACAGG